rnacentral:rRNA from 1 species
AUUGAACGCUGGCGGCAGGCCUAACACAUGCAAGUCGAGCGGAGCGGCGGACGGGUGCGUAAUGCCUAGGAAUCUGCCUGGUAGUGGGGGAUAACGUCCGGCAACGGGCGCUAAUACCGCAUACUAUCAGAUGAGCCUAGGUCGGAUUAGCUAGUUGGGGGGGUAAAGGCCUGACAAGGCGACGAUCCGUAACUGGUUUGAGAGGAUGAUCAGUCACACGUGAACUGAGACACGGGCCAGACUCAUACGGGAGGCAGCAGGGGGGAAUAUUGGAAAAUGGGCGAAAGUCUGAUCCAGCCAUGCCGCGUGUGUGAAGAAGGUCUUCGGAUUGUAAAGCACUUUAAGUUGGGAGGCGUUACCAACAGAAUAAGCACCGGCUAACUUCGUGCCAGCAGCCGCGGUAAUAC